rfam:Oryza glaberrima chromosome 11 Oglab11_0286_2, whole genome shotgun sequence.
GUCUGGGUGGUGUAGUUGGUUAUCACGUUAGUCUCACACGCUAAAGGUCCCCAGUUCGAACCUGGGCUCAGACA